CUCAGCUCAGGUGACCCAGCGGGCCCCGGGUACACCUGGCUCGGGCCCCAGACCCCGCCCCGGGCGGCCGCACCCCCGGAACGCUCUCUCCCAGAGCGCGCGGCUAGCAGGGCGAGGCCAUGGCGGCGGUACCGGCGGCGUGCGCCUCGCAGGGGGCCCCGCCGGUGACAGGAGCCGCCACGGCGCCCGCCCCUGCGGCCGGCCUGGGCCGCUGCCGCAUGGCGCUGCUGCUGGCCGUGGCGCUGGACGUGGCGGGCAUGGCGGCGCUGUUGACCGGCGUAUUCGCGCAACUGCAGGUGCGCGGCCGCGACUUCGGCGACCUACUCAUCUACUCGGGCGCGCUGCUCGUCUUCCUGAGCCUGCUCGGCUGGAUCCUCUGGUACACCGGCAACAUCGAGAUCUCGCGCCAGGAGCUCGAGCGCGACUACGGCCUGCGGCCCUCGGCACUCGCCCGCCUGGCGCGCAAGCUGUCCCGCCGCUGGUCGGCGCCCGCCGCCGGCCCGCGCGCAGCGCCCGGCUCCCUCGGAGCGCGCCGAGCCGCCCGCGCGCCCGGGCCUCCCGCCGCCGGCGCCCGCCGCGUGCGCCUKCAGCUCGCCACGCUCGAGGCCGGGCCGGGGGCUGCAGGCACUGGCAACGAGUGAGCCCCAGGUGAGCGGAGUCCUGCGGAGACGUGGAGGUGGAAACAGACCAGGAGAGAUGGCGACCGCGAGGGGCGAGGGAGACAGGAACCGCAGGAGACGGAGAUUGGAGGGGACUGAGGCAGGGUAACAGAAGCCAGACCGCCGUGCGUAGGUGCAGACUUGGCGGGCACGAAUGAUCCCCGCAACUGGACGUGAGUCCGGAGGUGGAGUGGUCAAGGUUAGGCACUCCCAGCACUCGGAAAUACCACCCUCAAGCCGACCCCAUUUAAUCCUCUCAGGGGAUUGGGUGCCUGAGAUUACUGUGUUAUUAUCCCCAUUCUACAGGGGGUAAACUGAGGUCAAUAAAGCUGCCACCUUUGCCCAAGAUCAUGCGACACAUAGGUGGAGGAGCUCGGAUUUUCCUGACAAGUAGUCCUAUGAGAAGGACCCACGGAGGCAGGAGGAGUGGAACCGCCCUUGUUCCCUCGCCUUUCUCCUUUACCUUCUACCUGAUGUAAGGUUCAGUGCUAUGCCUGGCCUCAGGCAUCCCUGGAAUGUCAGCASGUAUCCCACGUAUCCCACAUGGAUGAGGAGGAAUUACUACUGUAUCCCCUUUCCUAAACACACCAGCUUGCCUGUCGGCCUCUGCUCAAGGACCUGCCGUGGAUCCCUCUUGCCCUCUGGUUAAGCCCAGGCCAUUUUCUUGCCUUCUCUGCAGUGACCUCUGUGCAUCCCCUCUACGUGGGGAGUGUCCUUGCUGUCUGCCCUCGACCCAGAAAACUCCUAGCACAUCCUUUAAGCGCCAGCCCCCCUUCUCUGCCCUCCUCUGAGUCUUCCUAUUGUCCGAGUUUCCAGGUCUGCUUGGAUGGCUGUGCUUUGUGUGUUGGCACUGUCUCUCCCACUGCCAGGGACUCUUUAAGGGUGACCUCGCCAGUCAGGACAGGACUGAGAAGUGCAGCUGCCCCUCCCCCGGCCGACCACCAGUGCACCCAUCUGUCCCCCAGCGUCCUCACUUGGAUA